UACGGAGGGUGCGAGCGUUGUCCGGAAUCACUGGGCGUAAAGGGCGCGUAGGCGGCCUGGCAAGUCAAGGGUUAAAGCUCGCGGCUCAACUGCGAGUCGGCCACUGAUACUGCUGGGCUAGAGCACUGUAGAGGCAGAUGGAAUUCCGGGUGUAGCGGUGGAAUGCGCAGAUAUCAGGAGGAACACCGGUGGCGAAGGCGGUUCUCUGGGAAUAUCCUGACGCUGAGGAGCGAAAGUGUGGGGAGCGAACAGG
rnacentral:rRNA from 1 species